CCCUUAGAUGUUCUGGGCCGCACGCGCGCUACGCUGAUGCAUUCAACGAGUUUCUUCCUGGUCCGAGAGGAAUGGGUAACCUUUUGAAAGUGCAUCGUGAUAGGGAUAGACUAUUGCAAUUAUUGGUCUUCAACGAGGAAUUCCUAGUAGACGUAGUUCAUCAGACUGCAUCGAUUACGUCCCUGCCCUUUGUACACACCGCCCGUCGCUCCUACCGAUUGAAUGCUCAGGUGAGCCAUUCGGACCUUCAUCAUGCCGGUUUCCGGUUUUGAUGAGGGAAAGUCUUGCGAACCUUAUCAUUUAGAGGAAGGAGAAGUCGUAACA
rnacentral:rRNA from 1 species